AUUGAACGCUGGCGGCAUGCCUUACACAUGCAAGUCGAACGGUAACAGGUCUUCGGAUGCUGACGAGUGGCGAACGGGUGAGUAAUACAUCGGAACGUGCCCGAUCGUGGGGGAUAACGGAGCGAAAGCUUUGCUAAUACCGCAUACGAUCUACGGAUGAAAGCAGGGGACCGCAAGGCCUUGCGCGGACGGAGCGGCCGAUGGCAGAUUAGGUAGUUGGUGGGAUAAAAGCUUACCAAGCCGACGAUCUGUAGCUGGUCUGAGAGGACGACCAGCCACACUGGGACUGAGACACGGCCCAGACUCCUACGGGAGGCAGCAGUGGGGAAUUUUGGACAAUGGGCGAAAGCCUGAUCCAGCCAUGCCGCGUGCAGGAUGAAGGCCUUCGGGUUGUAAACUGCUUUUGUACGGAACGAAAAGACUCUUUCUAAUAAAGGGGGUCCAUGACGGUACCGUAAGAAUAAGCACCGGCUAACUACGUG
rnacentral:rRNA from 1 species